rnacentral:sRNA from 1 species
UUUUCGCUGGGGUGUUCGUGAUUCCAGAUAAAUGUUCCAUUCCUUAUUAUGUAUUGCAUAAUGCUGGGCAAAGAGUCGUAGCUGUCAGGCCAUUUUAUUAUGGAAGACAAAAGCUUCUCUACUAGCAUAAGUCUGUUGAGGGCAAGGUAAGUGAACAUAUCAUGACACGGCACAUCCAGCCUUUAA